rnacentral:lncRNA from 1 species
UGGGUAGGAAUUUAGUAAGUAAGAACAUUCCAGCUGGAAAUAAAUAGCAUGUACAAGGAUAUGAAGGCAGGAAAACGCAAGGCAUACCUGUGGGUUCCAGGUUUCUUCAGUUUGGCUCCAGCUAAGGUCCUUCGCGGGGAACUGUGGGAAAUGAAGUUUGAUACUAGGUGGCUGACUUUUGAGUACCAGCAUUCUUGUAUAUGCAGUAUACAUAUACAGUGGAAGGGUUUUGAAGUGGGGUUUACUUCUCUUGUCUCUCCUAGGGUCAUCUGUGCUUGAAUAUUGAGAAGCCACAACCAUCAGCGGAUCCACAGAGACUCCAUCAGCUUUGGCUUCUUGGGAACUGGUAUUCUGGGGGCAGGGUCUGACCAGCAUGCAACAUAAUCCUUUCUCCAUUUUUUCCACAUUUGGGGCAUUUAAGACCAGCUGUGAAAUGCCCUGAGAAUGGGGAUGUGUUUGGAGAGGCUGCUGUGGGACACCAAAUGGAGCUAAAACUGGUCUGGAACUGCACUGUCCAAUAUGGUAGCCACUAACACUUUUGGUUAUGAAGCACUUGGUCUGUGGCCGCUCCAAGCUGAGAAAUGCUGUGAGGGUAAAAUACACACCACAUUUCAAAGACUUAUCACUUAAAAAAAGAAUAUACAUCGUCUCAUUAAUAUUUUAAAUAUUGAUUAUAUGCUGAUAAAAUAUUUUGGAUAUUUGGG